UCAAAGGCUUUAUGUCAUCUCCCGGCCCUCUGAUGAAGCCACUGAAUUUAUACCAAAAAAAAAAAU
rnacentral:ncRNA from 1 species